GCAGUCGAGCGGACAGAAGGGAGCUUGCUCCCGGAUGUUAGCGGCGGACGGGUGAGUAACACGUGGGUAACCUGCCUGUAAGACUGGGAUAACUCCGGGAAACCGGAGCUAAUACCGGAUAGUUCCUUGAACCGCAUGGUUCAAGGAUGAAAGACGGUUUCGGCUGUCACUUACAGAUGGACCCGCGGCGCAUUAGCUAGUUGGUGAGGUAACGGCUCACCAAGGCGACGAUGCGUAGCCGACCUGAGAGGGUGAUCGGCCACACUGGGACUGAGACACGGCCCAGACUCCUACGGGAGGCAGCAGUAGGGAAUCUUCCGCAAUGGACGAAAGUCUGACGGAGCAACGCCGCGUGAGUGAUGAAGGUUUUCGGAUCGUAAAGCUCUGUUGUUAGGGAAGAACAAGUGCAAGAGUAACUGCUUGCACCUUGACGGUACCUAACCAGAAAGCCACGGCUAACUACGUGCCAGCAGCCGCGGUAAUACGUAGGUGGCAAGCGUUGUCCGGAAUUAUUGGGCGUAAAGGGCUCGCAGGCGGUUUCUUAAGUCUGAUGUGAAAGCCCCCGGCUCAACCGGGGAGGGUCAUUGGAAACUGGGAAACUUGAAUGCAGAAGAGGAGAGUGGAAUUCCACGUGUAGCGGUGAAAUGCGUAGAGAUGUGGAGGAACACCAGUGGCGAAGGCGACUCUCUGGUCUGU
rnacentral:rRNA from 1 species